AUAGGAGACAAGARGGCAUCUUCUUGUUUUUAAAAGACCUAGCAAUAGGUAUGCUUAGGGAGGAGCUUGCGUCACAUUAGUUAGUUGGUGGGGUAAAGGCCUAMCAAGACUAUGAUGUGUAGCCGGGCUGAGAGGUUGAACGGCCACAUUGGGACUGAGACACGGCCCAAACUCCUACGGGAGGCAGCAGUAGGGAAUUUUCGGCAAUGGAGGAAACUCUGACCGAGCAACGCCGCGUGAACGAUGAAGUAUUUCGGUACGUAAAGUUCUUUUAUUAGGGAAGAAUAAAUGAUGGAAAAAUCAUUCUGACGGUACCUAAUGAAUAAGCCCCGGCUAACUAUGUGCCAGCAGCCGCGGUAAUACAUAGGGGGCAAGCGUUAUCCGGAAUUAUUGGGCGUAAAGGGUGCGUAGGCGGUUAAAUAAGUUUAUGGUCUAAGUGCAAUGCUCAACAUUGUGAUGCUAUAAAAACUGUUUAGCUAGAGUAAGAUAGAGGCAAGUGGAAUUCCAUGUGUAGUGGUAAAAUGCGUAAAUAUAUGGAGGAACACCAGUAGCGAAGGCGGCUUGCUGGGUCUUUACUGACGCUGAGGCACGAAAGCGUGGGGAGCAAACAGGAUUAGAUACCCUGGUAGUCCACGCCGUAAACGAUGAGUACUAAACGUUGGGUAAAACCAGUGUUGAAGUUAACACAUUAAGUACUCCGCCUGAGUAGUACGUACGCAAGUAUGAAACUUAAAGGAAUUGACGGGACUCCGCACAAGCGGUGGAUCAUGUUGUUUAAUUCGAAGGUACCCGAAAAACCUCACCAGGUCUUGACAUGCUUCUGCAAAGCUGUAGAAACACAGUGGAGGUUAUCAGUUGCACAGGUGGUGCAUGGUUGUCGUCAGCUCGUGUCGUGAGAUGUUGGGUUAAGUCCCGCAACGAGCGCAACCCUUAUUGUUAGUUACCAGCACGUAAUGGUGGGGACUUUAGCAAGACUGCCAGUGAUAAAUUGGAGGAAGGUGGGGACGACGUCAAAUCAUCAUGCCCCUUAUGACCUGGGCUACAAACGUGAUACAAUGGCUGUUACAAAGGGUAGCUGAAGCGCAAGUUUUUGGCRAAUCUCAAAAAAACAGUCUCAGUUCGGAUUGAAGUCUGCAACUCGACUUCAUGAAGUUGGAAUCGCUAGUAAUCGCGAAUCAGCAUGUCGCGGUGAAUACGUUCU
rnacentral:rRNA from 1 species